CCCUUAGAUGUCCUGGGCCGCACGCGCGUUACACUGAUGCAUUCAACGAGCUUAUAACCUUGGCCGAGAGGCCUGGGCAAUCUUGUUAACGUGCAUCGUGAUUGGGAUAGAUUAUUGAAAUUAUUAAUCUUGAACGAGGAAUUCCUAGUAAACGCAGAUCAUCAAUCUGCAUUGAUUACGUCCCUGCCCUUUGUACACACCGCCCGUCGCACCUACCGAUUGGAUGGUCCGGUGAAGCCUCGGGAUUGUGGUUCUUGCCGCUUUAUUGUGGCGUGACCGCGAGAACUUGUCUAAACCUUAUCAUCUAGAGGAAGGUGAAGUCGUAACA
rnacentral:rRNA from 1 species